rnacentral:rRNA from 1 species
AUGAACGCUAGCUACAGGCUUAACACAUGCAAGUCGAGGGGCAGCAUGAACUUAGCUUGCUAAGUUUGAUGGCGACCGGCGCACGGGUGAGUAACACGUAUCCAACCUGCCGAUGACUCGGGGAUAGCCUUUCGAAAGAAAGAUUAAUACCCGAUGGCAUAGUUCUUCCGCAUGGUAGAACUAUUAAAGAAUUUCGGUCAUCGAUGGGGAUGCGUUCCAUUAGGUUGUUGGCGGGGUAACGGCCCACCAAGCCUUCGAUGGAUAGGGGUUCUGAGAGGAAGGUCCCCCACAUUGGAACUGAGACACGGUCCAAACUCCUACGGGAGGCAGCAGUGAGGAAUAUUGGUCAAUGGACGAGAGUCUGAACCAGCCAAGUAGCGUGAAGGAUGACUGCCCUAUGGGUUGUAAACUUCUUUUAUACGGGAAUAAAGUGAGGCACGUGUGCCUUUUUGUAUGUACCGUAUGAAUAAGGAUCGGCUAACUCCGUGCCAGCAGCCGCGGUAAUACGGAGGAUCCGAGCGUUAUCCGGAUUUAUUGGGUUUAAAGGGAGCGUAGGCGGACGCUUAAGUCAGUUGUGAAAGUUUGCGGCUCAACCGUAAAAUUGCAGUUGAUACUGGGUGUCUUGAGUACAGUAGAGGCAGGCGGAAUUCGUGGUGUAGCGGUGAAAUGCUUAGAUAUCACGAAGAACUCCGAUUGCGAAGGCAGCCUGCUGGACUGUAACUGACGCUGAUGCUCGAAAGUGUGGGUAUCAAACAGGAUUAGAUACCCUGGUAGUCCACACAGUAAACGAUGAAUACUCGCUGUUUGCGAUAUACAGUAAGCGGCCAAGCGAAAGCGUUAAGUAUUCCACCUGGGGAGUACGCCGGCAACGGUGAAACUCAAAGGAAUUGACGGGGGCCCGCACAAGCAGUGGAGUAUGUGGUUUAAUUCGAAGCAACGCGAAGAACCUUACCAGGCCUUGACAUCCCUUGCAGAGGUAUAGAGAUAUAUCCGAGGUUAUCAAGGAGACAGGUGGUGCAUGGUUGUCGUCAGCUCGUGUCGUGAGAUGUUGGGUUAAGUCCCGCAACGAGCGCAACCCUUAUUGCCAGUUACUACGUUAAGAGGACUCUGGCGAGACUGCCGUUGACAAAACGGAGGAAGGUGGGGAUGACGUCAAAUCAGCACGGCCCUUACGUCCGGGGCUACACACGUGUUACAAUGGGGGGUACAGAAGGCAGCUACACGGCGACGUGAUGCUAAUCCCGAAAGCCUCUCUCAGUUCGGAUUGGAGUCUGCAACCCGACUCCAUGAAGCUGGAUUCGCUAGUAAUCGCGCAUCAGCCACGGCGCGGUGAAUACGUUCCCGGGCCUUGUACACACCGCCCGUCAAGCCAUGAAAGCCGGGGGUACCUGAAGUGCGUAACCGCAAGGAGCGCCCUAGGGUAAAACUGGUGAUUGGGGCU